UGGAUUUGUAAGUGAGCAAAUGGGUGAACUCUAUGAGGCAGUGAACUGACCAAUCAGCUGCCAGCUAGGCUCUGUUACAGUUACACCUCUAGGUUAGUGUCUCUGCACGUUCUUUUUUGGCGCUUGCACCUGAGCAUAGGAGGCUGCGUUAUCCACUGGAGAGUAAAAGAGAGCUGUGCCUGAAUCCACUGUUGUCACGGAGCUAAAGGCAGUGAAUUCUGCUAAAAUGGUGUUCUCCCAGAGAUUCAUAGAUUCCCAGUCCGGGGGGCUGGGUGGCGAGGCAACCGUGUUUGUGACUCUGACUUUAGACGGAUUGCCAGGAUCAUCAUCAUCAUCUUCAUGGUGGUAGGACCAACACUAACACGAACUAAAAAGGGCCCAACGUUGGUGACUGAACUCUUGUCAACAAAGGCAAGUGAAACUGAGGACGAACUAAGCUCAAGGGAAUUUAAAAGGGGAUUUAUUUACGUGCGCACUUUAUUAUUUUAGUUUGUUAUUUUUUUCCAUAACUGUUUUUUUGUAUAUGUAUGUACCAGCCCAUGUGUGUUUAAUACAUUUUAUGCAAAUUGUCA